AUAACCCUUUGUGAACAUACCUACAACUGUUGCUUCGGCGGGUAGGCCGUCCCCUGAAAAGGACGCCUCCCGGCCCGGACCGGACCCCCCGCGGGACCGGACCCGGCGCCCGCCGGAGGAUAACCAAACUCUAUUGUAACGACGUUUCUUCUGAGUGGCAUAAGCAAAAUAAUCAAAACUUUUAACAACGGAUCUCUUGGUUCUGGCAUCGAUGAAGAACGCAGCGAAAUGCGAUAAGUAAUGUGAAUUGCAGAAUUCAGUGAAUCAUCGAAUCUUUGAACGCACAUUGCGCCCGCCAGCAUUCUGGCGGGCAUGCCUGUUCGAGCGUCAUUUCAACCCUCAAGCUCUGCUUGGUGUUGGGGCUCUACGGUCGACGUAGGCCCUCAAAGGUAGUGGCGGACCCUCCCGGAGCCUCCUUUGCGUAGUAACAUUUCGUCUCGCACUGGGAUCCGGAGGGACUCUUGCCGUAAAACCCCCCAAUUUCCAAAGGUUGACC
rnacentral:rRNA from 1 species